rnacentral:rRNA from 1 species
GGCGGCGUGCUUAACACAUGCAAGUCGAACGAUGAAGCCCUUCGGGGUGGAUUAGUGGCGAACGGGUGAGUAACACGUGGGCAAUCUGCCCUUCACUCUGGGACAAGCCUUGGAAACGAGGUCUAAUACCGGAUAACACUCCCAUUCUCCUGGAUGGGGGUUAAAAGCUCCGGCGGUGAAGGAUGAGCCCGCGGCCUAUCAGCUUGUUGGUGAGGUAAUGGCUCACCAAGGCGACGACGGGUAGCCGGCCUGAGAGGGCGACCGGCCACACUGGGACUGAGACACGGCCCAGACUCCUACGGGAGGCAGCAGUGGGGAAUAUUGCACAAUGGGCGAAAGCCUGAUGCAGCGACGCCGCGUGAGGGAUGACGGCCUUCGGGUUGUAAACCUCUUUCAGCAGGGAAGAAGCGAAAGUGACGGUACCUGCAGAAGAAGCGCCGGCUAACUACGUGCCAGCAGCCGCGGUAAUACGUAGGGCGCAAGCGUUGUCCGGAAUUAUUGGGGGUAAAGAGCUCGUAGGCGGCUUGUCACGUCGAUUGUGAAAGCUCGGGGCUUAACCCCGAGUCUGCAGUCGAUACGGGCUAGCUAGAGUGUGGUAGGGGAGAUCGGAAUUCCUGGUGUAGCGGUGAAAUGCGCAGAUAUCAGGAGGAACACCGGUGGCGAAGGCGGAUCUCUGGGCCAUUACUGACGCUGAGGAGCGAAAGCGUGGGGAGCGAACAGGAUUAGAUACCCUGGUAGUCCACGCCGUAAACGGUGGGCACUAGGUGUGGGCAACAUUCCACGUUGUCCGCGCCGCAGCUAACGCAU